GAUGAAGAACGUAGCGAAAUGCGAUAAGUAAUGUGAAUUGCAGAAUUCAGUGAAUCAUCGAAUCUUUGAACGCACAUUGCGCCCAUUAGCAUUCUAGUGGGCAUGCCUGUUCGAGCGUCAUUUCAACCCUUAAGCCCUGUUGCUUAGCGUUGGGAGCCUACAGUACUGUAGCUCCCCAAAGUUAGUGGCGGAGUCGGUUUCACACUCUAGACGUAGUAAUUUUUUCUCGUCUGUAGUUGAGCCGGUCCCCUGCCGUAAAACACCCAAUUUAUCAAGGUUGAUCUCGGAUCAGGUAGGAAUACCCGCUGAACUUAAGCAUAUCAAUAAGCGGAGGA
rnacentral:misc_RNA from 1 species